rnacentral:lncRNA from 1 species
UUAGUAAAUUACAUUUUAUUUCAUUUGCAGAGGGGCCUUGUGGCAACAAGGUGACAUAGGACAAACAGCACUCAGGUGAGCACCUGGAAAAGGCUGUUGAAGCACACAGGCACUAGAACUACUUUAUGAGCAUAAUUCCUUGGACCAUAAUCGUCACCUGAGGAAGCCGCGUGAGACACCAGUCUUAGGGAAACCCACCCGACCAGCUGCUGGGGUUUGUUCCGGUUGGUGCCAGCACAGCCCACCUUGGGCGCGAACUCAGCAGACAGUCCCACGGUCCCCAGAGGACUCUCCACACCGAAGGUGCCCUAGUAUACCCAGGAUCUUAGGAUCACUGAGGAGAGUCAGCCUCCAGAGAGGGCUCUGACUCAGGAACUCAGGUGAGAGUGCCAUCUUGUGUCCUGGGUCUCUCAGAGACCAGUCUGCUCAGGAGAACACAUGGGCCACAGAAGCAACAGAACCUCUUGAACAGGGUCCCUUCCGGCCUUCAUCCUCAGCUAGGAGGCAGAGCUGAGCUCCAGACCUCUGUGCACAUUCCCUGCAAGAAGAGAGCUUCCUGCAGAGAGUUCUCUGACCACUGGGACUCGGGAGAGAGUUGGACUCCCAGGAGUGGUGACAGAGGCUAAUAGAAUCACAGGAGGAACAAGCUGCAGCCAGAGUCAGCUAGAAAUCUAACAUGAGAGAUUAACAGAUGGCGAAAGACAAAUGUAAAAAUCUUACUAAAAGAAACCAAGACCACUUGGCAUCAUGAGAACCCAGUAUUCCCACCACAGCAAGUUCUGGAUACCCCAACACAUCUGAAAAGUAAGAUUCAGAUUUAAAAAUUAUAUCACAUGAUGGUGGUAGAGGAUUUUAAGAAGGGCAUUAAUAACUCACUUAAAGAAAUACAGGAGAACACUGCUAAACAGGUAGAAGUCCUUAAAGAGGAAGUACAAAAAUCCCUCAAAGAAUUACAGGAAAACACAACCAAACAGGUGAUGGAAUUGAACAAAACCAUCUAGGAUCUAAAAAUGGAAGUAGAAACAAUUAAGAAAUCACGAAGGGAGAUGACUCUGGAGAUCGAAAUCCUAGGAAAGAAAUCAGGAACCAUAGAUGCAAACAUCAGCAACAGAAUACAAGAGAUGGAAGAGAGAAUCUCAGGUACAGAAGAUUCCAUAGAAAACAUGGACACAACAAUCAAAUAAAAUACAAAAUGCAAAAAGCUCCUAGCCCAAAACAUACAGGAAAUCCAGGACACAAUGAGAAGACCAAACCUAAGGAUAUUAAGUAUAGACAAGAGUGAAGAUUUUCAACUUAAAGGGCCAGUAAAUAUCUUCAACAAAAUUAUAGAAGAAAACUUCUCUAACGUAAAGAAAGAGAUGCCCAUGAACAUAUAAGAAGACUACAGAACUCCGAAUAGACUGGACAAGAAAAGAAAUUCCUCCCGACACAUAAUAAUCAGAAAAACAAUGCACUAAAUAAAGAUAGAAUAUUAAAAACAGUAAGAGAAAAAGGUCAAGUAACAUAUAAAGGCAGACCUAUUAGAAUAACACCAGACCAUGAAAGCCAGAAGAUCCUGGACAGAUAUUAUACAGAUCCUAAGAGAACACAAAUUCCAGCCCAGGCUACUAUACCCAACAAAACUCUAAAUUACCAUAGAUGGAGAAACCAAAGUAUUCCAUGACAAAACCAAAUUCACACAAUACCUUUUCAUGAAUCCAGCCCUUCAAAGGAUAAUAAAGAGAAAACUCCAACACAAGGAGGGAAAUUAUGCCCUAAAAAAAGCAAGAAAGUAAUCCUUCAACAAACCUAAAAGAAGAUAGCCACAAGAACAGAAUCCUAACUCUUAACUACAAAAAUAAGAGGAAGCAACAAUUACUUUUCCUUAAUAUCUCUUAAUAUCAAUGGACUCAAUUCCCC